rnacentral:rRNA from 1 species
UUCAAGAUAAGAUUUCCCACCGCAAGGGUAAGACCCCAGAAAGACUAUCUGGUUGAUAGGUCGAAGGUGUAAGUGCAGCAAUGUAUUUAGCUUAUCGAUACUAAUAGGUCGAGGACUUGACCAAAUU